rnacentral:RNase_P_RNA from 1 species
UGAGCUGGCCGGACGGUCGCAUUGGCCCUGGUUCGCCGGGGUUGAUGAGGAAGGUCCGGGCUCCGCAGGGCAGGGUGGUCGGUAACGCCGACCCGGGGUGACCCGCGGGAAAGUGCCACAGAAAACAGACCGCCUCAGGGCUUCGGCCCUGCGGUAAGGGUGAAACGGUGGUGUAAGAGACCACCAGCGCCGCAGGCGACUGCGGCGUCUCGGUAAACCCCACCUGGAGCAAGGUCAGAAGGGCAGUGCCGCGCAAGCGGCACGCCUGCGCGAGCGAUUGAGGGCGGCCCGCCCCGAUGCUCGCGGGUAGACCGCACGAGGCUGUCGGCAACGGCAGCCCUAGAUGGAUGGCCGUCGGCCCGCGCGAGCGGGUGCACAGAACCCGGCCUACAGGCCAGCUCACCUG